rnacentral:rRNA from 1 species
AUUGAACGCUGGCGGCAUGCCUUACACAUGCAAGUCGAACGGUAACGGGCCUUCGGGUGCCGACGAGUGGCGAACGGGUGAGUAAUACAUCGGAACGUGCCCGAUCGUGGGGGAUAACGAGGCGAAAGCUUUGCUAAUACCGCAUACGGUCUACGGAUGAAAGCAGGGGACCGCAAGGCCUUGCGCGGACGGAGCGGCCGAUGGCAGAUUAGGUAGUUGGUGGGAUAAAAGCUUACCAAGCCGACGAUCUGUAGCUGGUCUGAGAGGAUGAUCAGCCACACUGGGACUGAGACACGGCCCAGACUCCUACGGGAGGCAGCAGUGGGGAAUUUUGGACAAUGGGCGCAAGCCUGAUCCAGCCAUGCCGCGUGCAGGAUGGAGGCCUUCGGGUUGUAAACUGCUUUUGUACGGAACGAAAAGCCUUCUUUUAAUACAGGAGGGUCAUGACGGUACCGUAAGAAUAAGCACCGGCUAACUACGUG